rnacentral:rRNA from 1 species
AGUGAACGCUGGCGGUAGGCCUAACACAUGCAAGUCGAACGGCAGCACAGUAAGAGCUUGCUCUUACGGGUGGCGAGUGGCUGACGGAUGAGGAAUACAUCGGAAUCUACUUUUUCGUGGGGGAUAACGUAGGGAAACUUACGCUAAUACCGCAUACGACCUACGGGUGAAAGCAGGGGAUCUUCGGACCUUGCGCGAUUGAAUGAGCCGAUGUCGGAUUAGCUAGUUGGCGGGGUAAAGGCCCACCAAGGCGACGAUCCGUAGCUGGUCUGAGAGGAUGAUCAGCCACACUGGAACUGAGACACGGUCCAGACUCCUACGGGAGGCAGCAGUGGGGAAUAUUGGACAAUGGGCGCAAGCCUGAUCCAGCCAUACCGCGUGGGUGAAGAAGGCCUUCGGGUUGUAAAGCCCUUUUGUUGGGAAAGAAAAGCAGCAGGUUAAUACCCCGCUGUUCUGACGGUACCCAAAGAAUAAGCACCGGCUAACUUCGUG